GACGAACGCUGGCGGCGUGCUUAACACAUGCAAGUCGAACGGAAAGGCCCAGCUUUCUGGGUGCUCGCGUGGCGCACGCGUGUGUAACACGUGGGUUUACUGCCCUCUACUUUUUGGUAAGCCUGGGGAACUCUGUCUAAUACCCGGGAUGAUCAACUGUCGCACGUGGGUUGGUUGAGAGCGUUUGCGGUUGGGGAUGGGCCCGCGGCGUAUCAGCUUGUUGGUGGGGUAAUGGCUUACCAAGGCGACGACGGGUAGCCGACCUGAGAGGGUGAUCGGCCACACUGGGACUGAGACACGGCCCAGACUCCUACGGGAGGCAGCAGUGGGGAAUAUUGCACAAUGGGCGGAAGCCUGAUGCAGCGACGCCGCGUGAGGGAUGACGGCCUUCGGGUUGUAAACCGCUUUCGCCAGGGACGAAGCGUGAGUGACGGUAACUGGAGAAGAAGCACCGGCUAACUACGUG
rnacentral:rRNA from 1 species